UGGUAACAUAUUUUGGAAUGAUUUAUGAAUUGAUCUAUUUUGAUUUUGAUUUAUGAUCUACAAAAUAUUUGACAUAAUGUUGAUUUUUGAAAUAUUUUGAUGUAUUAUUUGACAAAUGUUUCGAAUUAUCUAUAUGAUAUGUAUGAAACCGAUGUUUGAUCCGAUAAAGUGCAUGAUCCUAUACUAGAUUAGCUGGAAUUUGUUCAUUCUCUUUUUACCUUUUCUUUACACAUGAGUAACUGAUAAGUAUAUUUAGUCUUACUAAAAGCUAGAAGAUCAAUUUGGAAAUAUUACUUGGACAUUAGAAAUAUUGUUAGCUAGUGAGAUCUUAUGAAAUUAUUUUAUAUGUUUUUUAUUAAUUAACCUUUGAUAUAUAGAGAUGUAUCACUAGUUAGAUUAAAUUUAUGAAUUUUACUUGGCAAAUUAUUUUUAUUAAAGAAUUUUAAAAUGAUUAAGAGAAAAAAUUUCGUAUUACUUUAAAGUUUUAUUUGAAGAUAAUAUAACGGUGUUACAUCUUAGUUUUGGGGCAUGACACCAUUAUUAGACAAGUCUUGACCAGAUUGGAUUACGUAUCAGCCAAUUUGUCAGGCAUUGCAACAGAUUUCAGGUAAUUGGAGAGUCUGCAAACAUGACAGGCUUGAGCUAGUUUAAUUUCUGCUUUUGCUUUGUGAGACUAUUCCAAUGAAGUGAGGAAAGAUAGAUAAAUUUGAUUAUGAACUCGAAUCCAUUUUUGAUAGUAUAGUUAGACUCUGAAAGGGAGGAGGUUAAGAUUCAAAUCUUCGUGAAACCUCCUUCGAGAUGGAAACUUGGGAAGGAGAGCAGCGACUCGUUUGGCACUUUUCAAAUAUGAUGCAUACUGAAGGAUGACAGGAGUAUCAUUCUUUCCUGCAUCAAUUUUGUCACGGUCCAAGCUUAUUGUCUGAAAAGCACUAGCCAAAGGCAAGACAUGGAUACCGUGACUAUUCUCCUUUCCUACCAGGUCCUUAAGCGCCUUCUUCUUGAAAGUCCAGCUGCCAGUUCUCAGGUUGAAAUGGUAUAGAGGAAGAAAUCGUUGGCCAUAGAUGGCUACGAACUCCAACGCCGCAAGAAUGUAUUCAAACUCCUCAUUUGACAUGUAGUAAGGAAAGCUGACUCUCGUCCAUCCAGGUUUUGCUCCUAUGUAGCCCUGCAAUCAAACUUUGCAAUUGGCAUUAGAUAAGUUGAAUUAUAUUUUACUUCUCUUCAUUUGGUCAAAAAAGAAAAAAAGGAAAAUUUUGUACUGAUACCCUUUUAAUAGCUUCUCUGAACGCAAGGGAUCGAGUCUGAUCAAUAUCAAGCAAACUGUGGCCAUAAGGUCCAGCACAAGCACACCCACCUCGAGCUUGGAUGCCAAACAGAUCAUUUAGGAUGGUUGCAACAAAAGGGCCAUGGAGAGGUUUAUCCCUCUUGUUCCCAGUCUCUCCCCACAUGAAAAGUCCCCUACCCUUUUCCUUUGCCUCGUCAACAUUGUUACCAUCGUUGGUUGUGGAGUAGAUGAGGAAAGACAGUAUGGCUUGUCUCUGGGUCUCGGUGCUUGCAUUUCCUAAAACCCUUAUGUUUUGGUUUGGGAGAAGCCUCUCCAAUGCUUGAUUUAUGUACGACUUCUCCUGCUUUGCAAUCACUUCAUAACCAAUAUAUUCUUUUACCCAAAAAGUCAAUGCUGCUCUAACAAUCUGAAUUAUUUGAGGAGUCCCUCCAUUUUCCCUUUCUUCUAUGUCACUUGCAUAUAUUGUGUCCUGCAAAAUAAAUACCCCAUUUCGCCACAUUUUAAAUGCAUACCUGCUUCCCUAAAUGCUGGGGAAUGAAUCUGAUUAAUAUCAUGAUAACUUAUCAUUUUCUAGAGUAUUUUUCUACUGGCACUGUCGUGCAUUCAGAAAUUUGGUUGGAAAUCUCUUUUCUUCUAAAAUUGUAAUUAAAAUAAAAUUUUUUUAGAGACACUUAUCAUUCACUAGUCUAUGUCUAAACCCGCUCCAUCUGAAUCAGGAAUUUAUUUCUAAACUCCAAAAAGCCUGACAGCUACCUAAUCAUUCUUUAUGUCGUCCAGCCGAAGAAAGAAACCGAAAUUUCUUACAAAAUGGGAUAUAUAAGCAAGAAUAAGAAAAAGAUAAAGAAAAUACAAAUUUCCAUUUUAUGGUAGAGAGGUGAACAAAAAAUAAAAUCUUUCAUCUAUUAAAUUGAAUUAAUCUGAACACAAAAAUAUAAUAAAAAUCUCUUCAUUUAUUAUCAAUUAAUUUUAAAUUUGAGAGUGAUUACCUGUUCAUUGAAGCCAUUGACAUAAUUAACAGUUCCACCUCCGCAAGUUGAUGGAGGAGAAGAUCCCAGCCGGUAGAGAGCCUUGCUCAUUAAAAGGAUGCCGGGCGUUCCCGGGCCACCUAGAAACUUAUGUGGGCUUAGGAAAAUGGCAUCAUAUCCAUCAAUCUCCCCUGACCUCAUAUCAAUCUCCACAUAAGGACCACUAUCCACAAAAACAAAAUGAUAAGCACAAUCACAAAUCAACUUCUCAUUGCUUUAUAACAUUAACAUAAUACAUAAACUUGGCUAAUAAUUAAUUGUGAGAUCUGUUAUUAAAAUAUUAAACUUUUAAUUUUAACAAUCAAAGUUUAAAUUCUGACAACCUCGAAUAUAAAAGCUUGACAACAAAAAAUGAAAAUUCUUACUGUGUACCUUGCUGCAAAAUCAAAGCAAACAAAACCUCCGUACUCAUGAAGAAGUUUGGCAAUCUCUCGAGUAUCUGUUUGAAUCCCAGUCACAUUACUACAAGCUGAAAAGGAGCCAAGCAAAGGCCUAUUGGCGUAUUUAUAGAGCUCAAGCUGUUUUCUUAGUGCUUCAAUGUCUAUGAACCCAUUCUCAUCUAAACCAAUCUCAACAACUUCAGCAAGGCUUUGACGCCAAGAAAGCAAGUUGGAGUGUUGCUCGUAAGGGCCAAUAAAAACUACCCAUCGAUACUCAUUAGGUAAGCAAUUUAUUACCAUGUCCCUCAAAAUUGAUGGUACCGUAAUCCCCAUAACUUCUUGUAGCCUUUUAAUAGCAGCCGUGGUGCCUGAGCCACAAAACAGAAUUGCAUCAUCUUGACCGCCACCUAGGCUUCUUUUAAUGUAGUUUGACGCUUCAUGCACCAUUUUCGUCGUCCUGUGCCCCACGUAACUGUCAGACGUGUGAGUGUUACCUACGCACGAACCAACCAAGAUCAGCUGACAAAUACUAAAACACAAAAAAUAUAUCUAUAUAUAUAUAUAUAUAUAUUAUACUCGGAAAUGACGCCAUCACUUUUGUUAAUUAAAUCAGAGUAUCACAAUUGAAGAUCAGAAGAAAAAAAACCUUUACCGUAGAAUGGCAGAACAUUGGUGACGAUGAAGUUUUCGAUAUAGUGAAAAGAGCGACCCGAUGCAGUAUGAUCAGCAUAAGUAAGUUUUCUAGUUCCAAAAGGAGAGUCAAAUUCUGCAUCACCACCAGUGAUUUGAGAUCGUAGCCAAGACAGCUUUUUCUCGGUGGAGUCAACCUUUGGCACAUCCAUCUCUAGAGCCCUGAAUGAUUCCGAGCCAUGGAAGAGUUUGCUGGAAACAUAGGAACGGUAUGUUGAUCCUGGUGACUUAUGCCUGUCCCUGGUUGAAGUCUUACUAUCAUUUGCUGCCUUCAAUUGCAGGGCUUCCGUUGUUUCUCUAAACAUGGGUUGCUCAAACUCCAUUUCCCACCUGGAAACAAAGAUUAGUGGCUGUUUUUAUUGUUGUUGUAGCUUAUGACAGGAGAAAGAAUGGAAAAAGUAGUUGUAGAAGAAGAAAAAGAUAAGAAUGAGGGUAAGGAAGGCAGACUUGGUUAUUUAUAUACUAUUAAAAUACAAAGUAACCUUUUGACACGGUUUCAUCUUUUUAAUUAAUAAAACAAAAAGACAAAGUUUUAGGCGUGAGGGGGGUUUGACUCCGAAACCAUGGCCUCUACACACCAAUAAGAAAAAUAUUGCUGUCUCAGAAACAAUGGGAUCUCUAAAAAGGAUUGAAAAAAAAAAAAAAACCUACAGAAAAUAGUAAGCCUAUGUUUGGAAUAUGUUAUUCCUUGGAGUGUAAGAAUUUCCAUAUUUCUCAUUCCUCUCCCUAAAAUUUGAUUAUGGAGUAUCAAACAGCCCAAGCAAUUGUUAGAAAAACAUUGAACCUUUCCUGAUCUACUUGGUUUGGAACGUGAUGUAUCCAAUCUGCCGUAUUAAUAAAGAGAGCAUUGCUAUUUGGAGGUGUCAAUAAUAUACCCGUACUCACGAGUUAUUCAUUUUAUAAAUUAGAUUACUUAAUUGAUAAAAAGAAUGACAAUUUUGGUAUCUCAUUAUAAUUUUCACGGAUAGCUAUGAUUCCGAAAGAGUAAAAUGUGUAAAGAAAGCAAAGAAUUUGAUUGCUUUUAAACUUAGUAUGAUUUUGGCAAUAUGCAUGAUAAUUUUAUUAAUGAUUAUUCAUCAUUAAGUAACAUUUAUGAAUUAAAAUUAAAUUUUGAUUUAUUGAAAAAGUAUAAAAAAAUCAGUUAUAAAAAAUAAAUGAAAGAAUGAAGAAACAAACAAACGGAUCAAAUAAAAAAAAUAAAAAGAGAACCAAUACAAAAUAAAAGUAGUGAAAUAGAUCUUCAAACCAAUACUCCACCACAAUAAAGGCUAUUCAUUUGUAUUUAUGAUGAAGUGGCAUAUUAAAAAUAAAUAAUUUAAUUUAAUUAAGAAUGAUUUAAGAUAAAUAAUAAACAUUUGAUUACUAAUUGAUAUAAUUUUAACUAUAGAAGGUAAAUAAUACGUUCUCUUUAAGGUAAUGUUGUUCUUCCAAAAUAGUUAAAUAUAAAAAUACCCAUUUAUUAUGCAUUUUUUUUAUCAUUUGCACCCAAAAAAAUAAAAUAUUAGUUUGGCACUCUAAUUUCAUUAUUUCAUCACUUUGUUAUCGGAGACUAGCGUCGUCAGUCAAGUUUAUUGAUGUGGUAUAUAACACUCGAUAAGGAUAUUAACAUAUGCUAAGAAAAGCUAAUCAAUGUCAAAUCAUCAAAAUUACAUCUGAAUUUAAAGAAAAUUCUAAAAAAAAUUUAAAAUAUUUUUUAAAAAAUAUUUAGCUUCUAAAAAAAUUAAUUUUAAAACCAAAACUAAAAUUUUUAAAAAUUUUUAAAAAAUUACCAAAACUUAAAAAAUUCAGAAAAAUCUCAAAAUUUUAUUAGGAAAAUAAAAAACUUUUCAAAUUUUCAUAAAAAUCAUAAUUUUAGUAAACAUAAAAGUUUUCAUAAAUUUAAAAAAAAUCUCUAAAGCUUAAAAAAAUUGAAAGUAAAAGAUCUAAAUUUUUUUGAAAAUAUCUAAAAAUUUUAAAAUAAUUGUAAUUCUUGUAAAUUAGGAAAAUUCUUCAUUUUUUUAAUCUUACAAUUUUAAUUUUCUUAUAUAUUUUGUGAUUUUUUACAUUUUUUUAAAUGUUUAUGGAUUUUUAUUAAAAUUUUAAGUUUUUUAUUUUAUAUUUUUCAAAAAAAUAUUAACUUUUUGUAAAUUUCUUAGAAUAUUUCAUAUUUUUGAAUUUUUUUAAUUUACUCAAAAUUUUUGAAAAUAUUUUAUAAAAUUUUAGAUUUUAAUAAAAAUUUGAUAUUUUUUUAAUUUUCAAAUUUUGUCAAAAAAGUCCAGAUUUUUUAUUAUUUGUAAACCUCUUUUUUAAUUUUUUAGAAUUUUUUUGGUUAUUUUUUAAUUUUUUAUCAAAAUUUUGAGAUUUUAUGAAUUUUUUUAUGUUUUGAUAUUUUUUAAAAUUUUAUGUUCAAAUAAGAUUUCAUAUUUAUUUAAUUUUUUUAAUUUUUAAAAAUAUUUUAGACUUUUAAAUUUUGUUGAAAUUUUUUACUAUUAAUGUGGUAAUUGAUGAUGUGGCACUACUGAACUUUUUGAUACAUGUCAGUAUCUUAUUAGAUGUUAAUGCCAUGUUGACAAAUUGAGUAAUUGCUUUAGUACGAGGUAUCAAAGUAAAUGGCGAAAUGAAAGUUAAAAAUCCAAAUUGAUAAUUUUGUUUUUGAAAGUACUAAACUGACAGAAAGUGUAUAGUACAUGAAAUAUUUUUAUGUUUAACUUUUCCAAUCAUGAAAAGACCUAAAAGGAGACUUGAAAUUGUUAUACAUGUAAUCGAUAAUCAUUCCUUAGUGUUGACCUUUAGAGUUCAAAGGAUGUCUCAAACCCAAAUAAUUUUUGGGUUUUUCCUACAUGUAAUAAUAAUAUUAAUUACCAAAUUAUUGCUUAAUUUGAAAAAAAAAUGACAUUAAUAUAAAGAUAAAUGUACAUAAAAGAGCAGUAACUGUAACUCGUAUAAAAGUAAAAAAAAAAAAAAAAGGUUAUCUGAACCUAUUUUAAUUGAAAACCCUUGAAGCCUCCUCAUCAAACACUUACUAGACUAAAGGUUUACAAAACCUCUAAACCAGAUUGAUCUAGUAAGAUGUGUAAGUUUUACAUUUAAGUGAUCACAUUAAAUUAUUUAAACUCUCAUGCUUAUCUUGUAUUAAGAGUAAACACAUCAACCAAUUUUAUUAAAUUAUUAAAACUAACUAUUAAUGGCAGCCCACUUAUAAAUUAUUCUCGCUCUAUAUCCUAAUAAGACAUCAACGGGGAGUGUAUAAAGCAAAAAUGAAGACUAUAUAAAGAGCAAUGGUGGUGGAAAGAUUGUUUUAUAAACAAAAAAUUUGGAUGUUGAAGCGGUCUUCAUAAAAGACGACUUUCUGUGUUAGAGUGGUUCCAUUAAAAUAGUAUACUAAGGUCAUAUUUGAUACAUAUAAUUAUUAAUAGAAUAUGAAGAAUAUUCGUAGGUUUGCAAUGAGGAUUAAUAUCCUCUUGUAUAGGAUUAUUCAAUCAUCUCAAGUAGAAAGGAUAAUUUUUAAAUUUAUAGAUUAAACUUACUGGUUCAAUUAAUACUCUUAAAAAUUACUUUAAUAAUUUAAAUUGUAUAAACUUUGAAUAAGGAAUUUUUGACCAAUAAAUAAAAUUAUCCUAUCCUAAUCUUUACAUAUAGCAAACACAAAACAAAAUGACAUUAUUUAAUCUAAUUUUAUUUAUAAUAUCAUUGUACCCUAUCAAGUUAUAAUCUUAUGUACCAAACAUGGCAUAAGAUUAUAUAUCUAUGUAUAUUGAUAUUAUUUGUUAUUUUAUAACUAAGCUUUUGCGAUUCACAUAUUGUGAGGGGUUUCUGUGACAACUUUUUAAAAGGCUAUUUGGUGUGAUUGCAUAUACAUGACAUCAUACAUGCUAAUAAAGGAUUAGGAUAGAGCGGUAUAUUCGAAUUCACCCAUAAGGUACUGUGUGAAUUGAAUUCCUUAAUUCUUUUUAUUCGUGAUCUAGAUUGGUGGAUUAUAUUACAAAAUGGUGGUGUAGCAUAAUGAUUUUAUGUUGUUUUAUAGCUAUUAUUGUUCAUUUCUUCAAACAUCAGUAAAUAAGAUUGAAGAACAGGUGCAUUGUCCUAAAACCAAAUGAACUUGAGUAAAAACCAUCAGCUCUAGGGAUUUUCGAAGAACUUGGAUGUCACUUUGUUUAUUGAAAACCAAAUGAUGGAAAGAAAUAGGAAGGUAGUAUCGAAAUUAGGAAUAACCUUUAGUUUACAAUAGAUAAGUUAGUUGAUUUUGUCUGUGUACACUCGGGUAUACUAUUUUUUAUUUAUGUUAAUGAGCCUCACACAAAUCUUCAAUUUGGUUGACUUUAGGACUAAUAUUAGGUUCUGGAAGUCUAGAAUGACUAUUGAAUAUAUAAGGUGAAGAAAUCUAAAUAUUCAAUAUUGAAAUUAUUUUAUACCUUGAUCUUAGCAUAUGAUAUUGGAAGUAGUUUACUAAAAUUAGGUAAGUUAUAUUGAGACAUUGAUAUUUCAAUUGGCUAUAUGCUAUGCCUUUUUCAUAUUUUUUUUAUCCUAAAGAUUGAAGGAGAAAUUUUAUUUUUGGAUGAGAUGCUAUGAUUCGCAAAAGUGAAUUAAAAUGGAAUUUGUAUUAAUGGAUAAAUUAUUACUUUAAGUAUUAUAUAUUGUUGGAAAGCUUGCUGAAUCUAUUUUUCAAUGAAACAAACGUAAGUUGAAUCAGAGUUUUCUAUUAAGAGUUAUCUAAUUUUUACUUAAUGAUAUGUAGACUGCUUGACAGCAGUAGCAAUAAGGAAUUACAAAAUUUCUCUGAAUUUUUAUACAAUGAAUUACGAAUUGAGCCAUACAUGUUUAAAAAGGUUAUUGAGUUUAUAUUCCAAUGAAACAAGCAGAAUUGAAUUUGGAGUCUUUUAUGAAUAAAUAUAUCAUUUUGAUUACAAUAUAUACAUGCUAUCUAGUAGUAGCAUAUGACAUGGAUUGCGAAAAUUAUUACAAUUAAUCUACAAUAAAUUACGAGGUGGGCCAUAUAUGUUGUCAUAACAUCUAGAUCCGGGGAUCCUUUGCUAGAUAUUGUCUUUAGGAGUGAUCAUUAAUCUUUUUUAUCUAUGAGCGAUUGGUCAUCUAGGGAAUUUAUCCUUUUAAAGAACACCUAAGCCUAAGGGUCCCUAAAAGAAUAGUUUCAUGUUUACUAAUCAGAACAGGGUUCAAGAGUACGGUUAUGUGUGAAAAAGGUUAUAACACCCUUACAACGCCCAUCGAAAGAUGGUACCAGCUUAAUUUUAUGUUAUCCAAUAAGUUUUAAAAAUUUACUAGAUAAUUAAUUAUUAGAAAUUAUUCUCAAUUGACUAUAAAACUUUUAGUAAAAAAUUAAAAAAAAAUUUUCACCCAAAGAGUAUGCAAGGAAACUACUGUUUCACUUGCAGAAGCUCUAUCGUCAGAUUAUUUAACAUUAAAGAAAAUUCAAAAAGGAAAAGAAAUAAAAUGGGAAAAAAGAAUAAUAAUUCAACUUUAGAUAUAAAUCUUUCUCUUCAAAAACUUAUUACUUUUGUAUAAGAAAAAUUGAUACUUUUAACUUUUCCUCAAAAGAAUUUGAGAGUUUCUAUUUUAAGGACAAUUGAUACUUUCAACUUUUCCUUAAAACAUUUUUUUUAAGAAAAAUUGGUACUUCUAACUUUUUCCCAAAAUAUUUUUCUGAAACUUUAAUUUUGAGGAAAAUUGAUACUUUCAACUUUUCUUCAAAAAUAUUUUUUUUAAAUUUAUUUUUAAGAAAAAUUGAUACUUUUACCUUUUCCUCAAAAAUAAUUUUUAGAAAAUUAUUUUCAAGGAAAAUUGAUACUUUCAACUUUUUCUCAAAAAUAUUUUUUUAGAAUUUUAUUUUAAGAAAAUCAUUAAAAAAUAAAAAUAAAAAUAAAAUAAGGAAUACAAAAUUAUUCUAAUCUAAUCAAUAAAUAAUAAUAAUAAUAAUAAAUAAGAAAAAAAAAAUUUUGGAACAGCUCGGCUUGAGAGAUAGAAGUGGUUUAAACGUGAGGCUCAGCUAGAAACGGCUCGAUUGGGCUGGGCUAGGGUCUAGGUAAAAAUGCGGGUCGCUAAUCGGGUUGGUGCUCGGGUUGAGUCACCCGAUUUCAAAACGUGCUGAUCUUCUGGGAAUAGUAAGGCUAAAACGACAUCGUUUUCAGUCGGUAUAAAAGGCUUCAACCUCUGUUUUUUUACAGAUUGCUUCCUUCUUCCUCUUUUUUUCUUUUUUUUUUCUCCUCCUUCUCUCUAAAUAGAAUCCAAAUCUCAGUUGAAUAUCUGCUGAAAUCUGAAAAAAAACAGGUCAAAAACUUCGAAGUUGGCCGAAAAUCUCGCCAAAAAAGUUGAAUCUUACCGAAAAAUUUCACUGGAUUCUGAAAAAUUUUUAGAAAUUUUUAGAAAAAAAAUUCUAAAAUUCUAAAAUCUUUCCCAUAAAUUCCUAACACUGUUUCUAACGCACCAGAACUUUUUUUAACCUCUGUUUCCUCUCUGUGUAUUUUUUGAUCUUUUUGUGUGCUCUCUGUGGACCUAUUUAUAAGGAUUGAUCAGAAGAGUUUCUGAUCAAUCCCAACUCCUUCUGGGAUUUUGAUUCAAUCUUUGAAUCCAAUCCCAAUCCUGCUAACCUCUAAUUUCACGGCCAAAUCCAAUUUUUUUAUCCUAAUCCUAUCCGAAAAUCAAUCAAGAUAAAACAAAAAAAACACAUAUAAUAAUUAAUAGAUAAAUAAUAAAAAAAUUAUAUUAAUAAAUAAUAAUAAAAAAUAAAUAAAAUGGGCUUACCCAUUUUGACUAGGCCCAAUUGAUCCAAGCCUGGACCAAAUUGGGUGUCUACAUAUUUUUGAAAAGGUUUUUGAGUCUAUUUUUCGAUUAAACAAGCGAAAUUGAAUUUGGAGUCUUUUAUGAAUAAAUAUAUAAUUUUUAUUAGAAGAUAUGCAUACUAUCUGAUAGCAACAUAUAACAUAGAUUGCAAAAGUUAUUACAAUUAAUCUACACGAAAUUAUGAUGUGGGCCAUAUAUAGUUAAAAAAUUUAUCGAGUUUAAUUUCUAAUGUACUAAAAAGAUUUUAAUUUUGAGUUGGAUAUCUUAAGAUAGGGUCAUUUUAGUGAAAGUAGCAUAGGCUACCAAAAUUAGUUAGUUAACCCUUAUAUAACUUAGUUGUUUUUAGUAUUAAUGGUCUUAAAGUGGAUUGAUUAAUUUCUGUUAUAUUGAAAUGAUUUUGAAUAGCCUAUUAAUUAUUUUGAGGGAAAAACUAAGUGGUGGAACCAAAAGGAAAUAAGUAGAAUCUUACACACUUUGCUUAUUUUGAAACUUAUGUAUAUAUGUAUGUUUCUAAAUAAAUGAGAUUUAUUUCUUUAUUUUCGAUAUAAGAAAAUAGGUUGAGCAUAUGAUUAUUUUAUGUUUUGCUAUAUAAAUGAUGGAUCAUGUUUAUAAAUGAAAUGAGAAAUUGAUUUAUGUUUAAUGAAUGAUUUUAUAAUAGCUACAUAUUUUACAUCUUGAGAAAUGGGAUUAUCGAUACCAGAACUAGUUAUACUACCCUAGCUAACGGAUUAUAAAAGUUAAUAUAGUCACGAUCAAAUGGCACUACUAGUGGGUCAUAGUAGUUAGUGUAAAGGUUUGGCCAGCAGGCUAUAAUAGUUAGUAAAGAUCAUAAGGAUAAAAUUAUCGAUAUUGCCAAUGUUACGGAUUAUAGUAGUAAUCAUAGUUAAUGAUAAACUAAUGAUAAUGAUGAUUUAUGAUAAUGAUGAUUUUAAAGAUUGAUUCAUGAUUUGAUUUAAUUACGAUAUUUGAAUGGUAACAUAUUUUGUAAUGAUUUAUGAAUUGAUCUAUUUUGAUUUUGAUUUAUGAUCUACAAAAUAUUUGACAUAAUGUUGAUUUUUGAAAUAUUUUGAUGUAUUAUUUGACAAAUGUUUCGAAUUAUCUAUAUGAUAUGUAUGAAACCGAUGUUUGAUCCGAUAAAAUGUAUGAUCUUAUACUAGAUUAGCUGUAAUUUGUUCAUUCUCUUUCUACCUUUUCUUUACACAUGAGUAACUGAUAAGUAUAUUUAGUCUUAUUAAAAGCUAGAAGAUCAAAUUUGGAAAUAUUACUUGGACAUUAGAAAUAUUGUUAGCUAGUGAGAUCUUAUGAAAUUAUUUUAUAUGUUUUUUAUUAAUUAACCUUUGGAUAUAUAGAGAUGUAUCACUAGUUAGAUUAAAUUUAUGAAUUUUACUUGGCAAAUUAUUUUUAUUAAAGAAUUUUAAAAUGAUUAAGAGAAAAAAUUUCGUAUUACUUUAAAGUUUUAUUUGAAGAUAAUAUAACGGUGUUACAUCUUAGUUUUGGGGCAUGACACCAUUAUUAGACAAGUCUUGACCAGAUUGGAUUACGUAUCAGCCAAUUUGUCAGGCAUUGCAACAGAUUUCAGGUAAUUGGAGAGUCUGCUAACAUGACAGGCUUGAGCUAGUUUAAUUUCUGCUUUUGCUUUGUGAGAAUAUUCCAAUGAAGUGAGGAAAGAUAGAUAAAUUUGAUUAUGAACUCGAAUCCAUUUUUGAUAGUAUAGUUAGACUCUGAAAGGGAGGAGGUUAAGAUUUAAAUCUUCGUGAAACCUCCUUCGAGAUGGAAACUUGGGAAGGAGAGCAGCGACUCGUUUGGCACUUUUCAAAUAUGAUGCAUACUGAAGGAUGACAGGAGUAUCAUUCUUUCCUGCAUCAAUUUUGUCACGGUCCAAGCUUAUUGUCUGAAAAGCACUAGCCAAAGGCAAGACAUGGAUGCCGUGACUAUUCUCCUUUCCUACCAGGUCCUUAAGCGCCUUCUUCUUGAAAGUCCAGCUGCCAGUUCUCAGGUUGAAAUGGUAUAGAGGAAGAAAUCGUUGGCCAUAGAUGGCUACGAACUCCAACGCCGCAAGAAUGUAUUCAAACUCCUCAUUUGACAUGUAGUAAGGAAAGCUGACUCUUGUCCAUCCAGGUUUUGCUCCUAUGUAGCCCUGCAAUCAAACUUUGCAAUUGGCAUUAGAUAAGUUGAAUUAUAUUUUACUUCUCUUUCAUUUGGUCAAAAAAGAAAAAAAGGAAAAUUUUGUACUGAUACCCUUUUAAUAGCUUCUCUGAACGCAAGGGAUCGAGUCUGAUCAAUAUCAAGCAAACUGUGGCCAUAAGGUCCAGCACAAGCACACCCACCUCGAGCUUGGAUGCCAAACAGAUCAUUUAGGAUGGUUGCAACAAAAGGGCCAUGGAGAGGUUUAUCCCUCUUGUUCCCAGUCUCUCCCCACAUGAAAAGUCCCCUACCCUUUUCCUUUGCCUCGUCAACAUUGUUACCAUCGUUGGUUGUGGAGUAGAUGAGGAAAGACAGUAUGGCUUGUCUCUGGGUCUCGGUGCUUGCAUUUCCUAAAACCCUUAUGUUUUGGUUUGGGAGAAGCCUCUCCAAUGCUUGAUUUAUGUACGACUUCUCCUGCUUUGCAAUCACUUCAUAACCAAUAUAUUCUUUUACCCAAAAAGUCAAUGCUGCUCUAACAAUCUGAAUUAUUUGAGGAGUCCCUCCAUUUUCCCUUUCUUCUAUGUCACUUACAUAUAUUGUGUCCUGCAAAAUAAAUACCCCAUUUUACCACAUUUUAAAUUGCAUACCUGCUUCCCUAAAUGCUGGGGAAUGAAUCUGAUUAAUAUCAUGAUAACUUAUCAUUCUCUAGAGUAUUUUUCUACUGGCACUGUCGUGCAUUCAGAAUUUGGUUGGAAAUCUCUUUUCUUCUAAAAUUGUAAUUAAAAUAAAAAAUUUUUUUAGAGACACUUAUCAUUCACUAGUCUAUGUCUAAACCCGCUCCAUCUGAAUCAGGAAUUUAUUUCUAAACUCCAAAAAGCCUGACAGCUACCUAAUCAUUCUUUAUGUCGUCCAGCCGAAGAAAGAAACCGAAAUUUCUUACAAAAUGGGAUAUAUAAGCAAGAAUAAGAAAAAGGUAAAGAAAAUACAAAUUUCCAUUUUAUGGUAGAGAGGUGAACAAAAAAUAAAAUCUUUCAUCUAUUAAAUUGAAUUAAUCUGAACACAAAAAUAUAAUAAAAAUCUCUUCAUUUAUUAUCAAUUAAUUUUAAAUUUGAGAGUAAUUACCUGUUCAUUGAAGCCAUUGACAUAAUUAACAGUUCCACCUCCGCAAGUUGAUGGAGGAGAAGAUCCCAGCCGGUAGAGAGCCUUGCUCAUUAAAAGGAUGCCGGGCGUUCCAGGGCCACCUAGAAACUUAUGUGGGCUUAGGAAAAUGGCAUCAUAUCCAUCAAUCUCCCCUGACCUCAUAUCAAUCUCCACAUAAGGACCACUAUCCACAAAAACAAAAUGAUAAGCACAAUCACAAAUCAACUUCUCAUUGCUUUAUAACAUUAACAUAAUACAUAAACUUGGCUAAUAAUUAAUUGUGAGAUCUGUUAUUAAAAUAUUAAACUUUUAAUUUUAACAAUCAAAGUUUAAAUUCUGACAACCUCGAAUAUAAAAGCUUGACAACAAAAAAUGAAAAUUCUUACUGUGUACCUUGCUGCAAAAUCAAAGCAAACAAAACCUCCGUACUCAUGAAGAAGUUUGGCAAUCUCUCGAGUAUCUGUUUGAAUCCCAGUCACAUUACUACAAGCUGAAAAUGAGCCAAGCAAAGGCCUAUUGGCGUAUUUAUACAGCUCAAGCUGUUUUCUUAGUGCUUCAAUGUCUAUGAACCCAUUCUCAUCUAAACCAAUCUCAACAACUUCAGCAAGGCUUUGACGCCAAGAAAGCAAGUUGGAGUGGUGCUCGUAAGGGCCAAUAAAAACUACCCAUCGAUACUCAUUAGGUAAGCAAUUUAUUACCAUGUCCCUCAAAAUUGAUGGUACCGUAAUCCCCAUAACUUCUUGUAGCCUUUUAAUAGCAGCCGUGGUGCCUGAGCCACAAAACAGAAUUGCAUCAUCUUGACCGCCACCUAGGCUUCUUUUAAUGUAGUUUGACGCUUCAUGCACCAUUUUCGUCGUCCUGUGCCCCACGUAACUGUCAGACGUGUGAGUGUUACCUACGCACGAACCAACCAAGAUCAGCUGACAAAUACUAAAACCCAAUAUAUAUAUAUAUAUAUAUAUCUUAUACUCGGAAAUGACGCCAUCACUUUUGUUAAUUAAAUCAGAGUAUCACAAUUGAAGAUCAGAAGAAAAAAAACCUUUACCGUAGAAUGGCAGAACAUUGGUGACGAUGAAGUUUUCGAUAUAGUGAAAAGAGCGACCCGAUGCAGUAUGAUCAGCAUAAGUAAGUUUUCUAGUUCCAAAAGGAGAGUCAAAUUCUGCAUCACCACCAGUGAUUUGAGAUCGUAGCCAAGACAGCUUUUUCUCGGUGGAGUCAACCUUUGGCACAUCCAUCUCUAGAGCCCUGAAUGAUUCCGAGCCAUGGAAGAGUUUGCUGGAAACAUAGGAACGGCAUGUUGAUCCUGGUGACUUAUGCCUGUCCCUGGUUGAAGUCUUACUAUCAUUUGCUGCCUUCAAUUUCAGGGCUUCCGUUGUUUCUCUAAACAUGGGUUGCUCAAACUCCAUUUCCCACCUGGAAACAAAGAUUAGUGGCUGUUUUUAUUGUUGUUGUAGCUUAUGACAGGAGAAAGAAUGGAAAAAGUAGUUGUAGAAGAAGAAAAAGAUAAGAAUGAGGGUAAGGAAGGCAGACUUGGUUAUUUAUAUACUAUUAAAAUACAAAGUAACCUUUUGACACGGUUUCAUUUUUUUAAUUAAUAAAACAAAAAGACAAAGUUUUAGGCGUGAGGGGGGUUUGACUCCGAAACCAUGGCCUCUACACACCAAUAAGAAAAAUAUUGCUGUCUCAGAAACAAUGGGAUCUCUAAGAAGGAUUGAAAAAAAAAAAAAAAGAACCUACAGAAAAUAGUAAGCCUAUGUUUGGAAUAUAUUAUUCCUUGGAGUGUAAGAAUUUCCAUAUUUCUCAUUCCUCUCCCUAAAAUUUGAUUAUGGAGUAUCAAACAGCCCAAGCAAUUGUUAGAAAAACAUUGAACCUUUCCUGAUCUACUUGGUUUGGAACGUGAUGUAUCCAAUCUGCCGUAUUAAUAAGGAGAGCAUUGCUAUUUAGAGGUGUCAAUAAUAUACCCGUACUCACGAGUUAUUCGUUUUAUAAAUUAGAUUACUUAAUUGAUAAAAAGAAUGAGAAUUUUUGUAUGUCAUUAUAAUUUGCACGGAUAGUUAUGAUUCCAAAAGAGUAAAAUGUGUAAAGAAAGCAAAGAAUUUGAUUGCUUUUCAGAAACUUAGUAUGAUUUUGGCAAUAUGCAUGAUAAUUUUAUUAAUGAUUAUUCAUCAAUAAGUAACAUUUAUGAAUUAAAAUUAAAUUUUGAUUUAUUGAAAAAGUAUAAAAAAAUCAGUUAUAAAAAAUAAAUGAAAGAAUGAAGAAACAAACAAACGGAUCAAAUAAAAAAAAUAAAAAGAGAACCAAAACAAAAUAAAAGUAGUGAAAUAGAUCUUCAAACCAAUACUCCACCACAAUAAAGGCUAUUCAUUUGUAUUUAUGAUGAAGUGGCAUAUUAAAAAUAAAUAAUUUAAUUUAAUUAAGAAUGAUUUAAGAUAAAUAAUAAAAAUUUGAUUACUAAUUGAUAUAAUUUUAACUAUAGAAGGUAAAUAAUACGUACUCUUUAAGGUAAUGUUGUUCUUUCCAAAAUAGUUAAAUAUAAAAAUAACCCAUUUAUUAUGCAUUUUUUUUUAUCAAUUUGGCACCAAAAAAAUAAAAUAUUUAGUUUGGCACUCUAAUUUUCAUUCUUUCAUCACUUUGUUAUCGGAGACUAGCGUCAUCAGUCAAUUUAUUGACGUGGUAUAAACAUCUAAUAAGAUAUUAACACAUGCUAAGAAAAUCUAAUCAAUGUCAAAUCAUCAAUAUUACAUCUGAAUUUAAAGAAAAUUCUAAAAAAAUUUAAAUAUUUUUUAAAAUAUUUAAGCAUUUUAAAAAAUUAUUUUAAAAACAAAAACUAAAUUUUUAAAAAAUUUUAAAAAAUUACCAAAACUUUAAAAAUUCAAAAAAAUCUCAAAAUUUUAUUAGGAAAAUAAAAAAACUUUUGAAAUUUUCAUAAAAAUCAUAAUUUUAGUAAACAUAAAGUUUUCAUAAAUUUUUUAAAAAAAAUCUCUAAAGCUUAAAAAAAUUGAAAGUAAAAGAUCUAAAAUUUUUUGAAAAUAUCUAAAAAUUUUAAAAUAAUUGUAAUUCUUAUAAAUUAGGAAAAUUCUUCAUUUUUUUAAUCUUACAAUUUUAAUUUUCUUAUAUAUUUUGUGAUUUUUUACAUUUUUUUAAAUGUUUAUGGAUUUUUAUUAAAAUUUUAAGUUUUUUAUUUUAUAUUUUUCAAAAAAAUUUAAUUUUUAGUAAAUUUCUUAGAAUAUUUCAUAUUUUUGAAUUUUUUUAAUUUUUUCAAAAUUUUUGAAAAUAUUUUAUAAAAUUUUAGAUUUUAAUAAAAAUUUGAUAUUUUUUGAAUUUUCAAAUUUUGUCAAAAAAUUCUAGAUUUUUUAUUAUUUGUGAACCUUUUUUUAAUUUUUUAGAAUUUUUUUGGAUUUUUUUUAUUUUUUGUCAAAAUUUUGAGAUUUUAUGAAUUUUUUUAAGUUUGAUAUUUUUUAAAAUUUUAUGUUCAAAUAAGAUUUCAUAUUAUUUAAUUUUUCUAAUUUUUAAAAAUAUUUUAGACUUUUAAAUUUUGUUGAAUUUUUUUACUAUUAAUGUGGUAAUUGAUGAUGUGGCACUACUGAACUUUUUGAUACAUGUCAGUAUCUUAUUAGAUGUUAAUGCCAUGUUGACAAAUUGAGUAAUUGCUUUAGUACGAGGUAUCAAAGUAAAUGGCGAAAUGAAAGUUAAAAACCAAAUUGAUAAUUUUGUUUCUUAAAGUACUAAACUGACAGAAAGUGUAUAGUACAUGAAAUAUUUUUAUAUUUAACUUUUCCAAUCAUGAAAAGACCUAAAAGGAGACUUGAAAUUGUUAUACAUGUAAUCGAUAAUCAUUCCUUAGUGUUGACCUUUAGAGUUCAAAGGAUGUCUCAUACCCAAAUAAUUUUUGGGUUUUUCCUACAUGUAAUAACAAUAUUAAUUACCAAAUUACUACUUAAUUUGAAAAAAAAAAGACAUUAAUAUAAAGAUAAAUGUACAUAAAAGAGAAGUUAUUUUUCCUUAGCUUUUUCCCUUAACAGUUGGAUCUCUUGCUCUACCUGUAAGUCAUUUAACAAAACACAAAUCAAUUGAUUACGUCACAACAUAUAAGUGAUUUAGUUACAAAUUAUGAUUCUUCUCAAACAAUAAAAUGAUGGGUGAUUGUGAUUGGAAUGAAACAAUAAAAAAUUUUCAUCAACGCCUUUCGUUGCUGUUUUAGACACAGAUUUGGCAAUGGUAAUAAAAUGAUUAGUGACCGUGGCUGUGAUUAAAUUUAUAAAAUAAUCUAAUGAUAAGAGAAUUAAAAUAUGCAACAUAUCUUUCAAAUUUGAAAUAGUAAAAGACAAAUCUAAUCAAUUUUAAUCGAAAUAUACAUUCAAAAUUUAUGGUCCAUAUAUUCUUGAAAAAUUAUUAAAUUAAAAAAAAAAGAAAAUUUCUAGAAUUGACAGUUUUGAAUUCAAGAUUUAUACAAAAAUUUUCAUAUUUGAUAGGUUUUCAUUUUGAAUUUAAAUAAUUUAUUAAAUAGAAUUACUUUAUAAACCCAUUUUAGAGAUAAUACAUUAUUACAAUUGAGAUUUUUAUAUUUAAAAAAUAUGUUUAUAUUAUUAGGAAAUUUAUUUUUAAUAAAAAUAUAUCUAAAUUAGAUUUUAUUGUUAACAAUUUUAAAAUUAUCCAUGUAGAUAUCCAUAUAAGUUAAUUUUUUGUGGUAAAUUCCUAUGUGUCAAAAAAUGAUAUAUAUAUAUAUAUAGGCAUUUACAUAUCCCAUAAUACUUACAUCUAAAAUUUGAAAGUUUUCGAUAACUAAAUAAUUUUUUAAAUAUAUAUUUCUUGAUAAAUAGCCUAAAAUUAAGAAAUGUCUUAUAUAUCGUUAUAGAGAAAUUUUAAGAAUUUUAUCACAUGUUAAAAAGAAAAACCAUCAAUGUAAGCAAACCUUAUAAUGUAACAAUGUAUCCUGUAAUAUAAUUUAUAUUAUAUAUUUUUAAAAGAUUAUUAGUUAUCCAAGUGAUAAAAAUAGUCAUACUUGACACAGACCCCAAGUCUUAAGAUUUCACAAUGUAUAAAAUAAACUUUAAUUUUCCAUGUGUACAUAUACUGACAAAGUAACAUAACAACAUAAAAUGUCAACCAACGAUUCUCAUCAUUCAAGCAUAGAAUUAAAUAUCACAUAGAUAUUCCAAGCAUAAAGGGAAAGGUCCAACAUAGAGACAAACCAUGAUGUGUGAGUAUGAAAGACAAAUGAUAUACUCCUAAUAAUAAAUUACAUCAAAAGACCCUAAAAUACCUAUGUUCUCAAUAUGUUUACCAAAUACUAUAGGUCGUAUUCCUGUAGUCCAAGGAUCAACAAUCAUGUUGUUAGUCUCAAUGUGUUUGACAACAAUCUUACAAUUUUUCAUAAAAUCCCUAACUUUAAAAUAUAUUAUCUCCAAAUGUUUAAACCACUAGUGCUCUUAUUAUUCUUAGAAAAAAACAUAGUAGACCUAUUAGCCUAAUAAAUCUUUAAAGGUCUGGAGAUGGAAUUAAUAAUACAAAGGCUUGACAUAAAAUUCAUAAGCCAAAUUGCCUAUGUAGCAGCUCUAUCGUAAGCAACAAACUCAACUUGCACAGUGGAAAAAAAUAAGAGUGUUUGUUUCACACAUUUCCAAGACAAAGCUCCUAUAGCCAACAUAAAAAAAUACCCUGAAAUGGACUCCAUGUCAUCCUAACAACUAGUGAAGUUAGAAUUUAUAUACCUUAUUAUCUAAAGAUUGUCCACUUUUUUGUAUACCAACGUAUGGUUUUUUUAUCUUUUACAAGUACCUAAUCACUUUCUUAAUAGCAACCUAGUGAUCCAUACUAGGAUUUGAAAGAUAUCUCUCAAGAACUCACUCUACAAAAGCAAUAUCUGGCCUAGUGUAAAUUGAGCAUACAUGAGACUCCUAACUGCACUAAAAUAUGAUAUGUUCUUCAUGGAUUCUUUCUCUAAAUCAUUCUUUGGGCAUUGACUAAGGUUGAGUCUAUCACCUUUGACAAUGAGUGCAUUCCUAGCCUUACAACUCUAUAUGUUAAAUUUAUUAAGUGCACGAUUAAUGUAAGACCUUUGCGAUAGUCCCAACAAAUUUUGAGACCUAUCUUUAUGAAUUUCAAUCCCAAGAAUAAGGGAAGCAUUCCUAAGGUUUUUCAUAUCAAAAGUCUUGGAGAAUAGCUGCUUAAUUUCAUGUAACAAAGCAAUAUCAUUAUAAGCCACUAAGUGUCAUCCACAUAUAACACAAGAAAGAUAUAUUUACUCCCCCUAAUUUUAAGGUAUAUGCAUUGAUCAACUUUAUUUUCCUCAAAACCAAAGAAGUAACUAUCUUAUCAAAUUUUAGAUAACCCUACUUAGAAGCUUAUUUAAGGGCAUAGAUUGACGUUUUAAGUCAACAUACUAAAUGCUCCUUCUCAGAUUCUUGAAAUCUUUUUAGUUGCAUCAUAUAAACUUUUUCUCUAAAAUCAUUGUUGAAAAAAGCCGUCUUUACAUCCAUGUAAUAAAGCUUUAAGUUAAAGUGUACUACCAAGGUCAUAACAAUCCUAAAGAAAUUUUUGAAAGACACUAGUAAAAAUGUUUCGUUAUAAUCUACUCUUUUCCUUUAAAUAAAUCACUUUGCCACCAAUUUAACUUUAAAUAUCUCAAAUUUUUCCUUAGAACCUUUCUUGGUUUUAUACACCCAUUUACAACCAAUGGAUUUAUACUAUUUUGGCUGUUUAACAAGCUCUUAAGCACCAUUUUGAGCCAUAAAAUUUACCUCACUUUUUAUUGCUUCCAUCCAUACAUUAAAUUACAGACUGCUAAUAGUUUCAUCAAAAGUCACAAGGUUAACAACAUGACUAAUGUCAUAGUCACUCUUUCAUUGAUAAAUUACAUAACCAUUAGAGAUGUCGGAUCUUCUUUGUUUGGAAGAUCUCCUAAAAGGUAUUUCAAUAUCAUUCUUUUGAACUUGAAGUACAUCAAUAAGAAGAAGGUUUAUGUCUUAUUGCCUUAAUCUCUUCUUUCAAUGGCCACUGGCAUUAUAUGGCACUAUAUUAUAGGUAAAGUAAUGGAGAUAUGUCUAAUAGAUUCACGGUUAUCCACAGCCUUUAUCACACUCUUGUCAACAACAUUUAGUUCAAGAAACUUUGCCACAUGUGACUCUACAAACUUAGUUCCAUGUGUAGGACAAUAAAACUUAUAUCCCUUGAAUUGAUCUAGAUACUCUAAAAAAAAGCAACGAGUACUCUUAGGUUCAAUCUUUUUUUCAAAAAGUUAUAGAUUCUAACUUCUAUAAGACAUCUACAAACUUUAAAAUGGUUCAAUUGGGGUUUCCUACCAGUCUACAAUUCAAAAGGUGUUUUAGGAACAGAUUUACUAAGUACUCUAUUAAGUAUAUACAAGGCAGUUUUAAUACCUUCACCUCAAAAAGACUUAAGAAGAUUAGUCCUACAUAUAAGCUCCUUAUCAUACCCAUAAGGGUGUGAAUUCACCUUUCAACCACACCAUUAUGUUCAAGACUACCAAGCAUAGCAUAUUAAGAAAAAUAUGACAUUCUUGUAAGUAUUUAGAAAAUGGUCUCAUAUGUUAUCUAGUUUCACUAUAUCUACCAUUAUACUCACCACCUUGGAGCUAAUGACUUUGAUAACUUUCUUUAAUUAUUUCUCUACCUUAGUUUAAAAAUUUUAAAUUUUUUAAAAGCAUUUAAAUUUUCAUCAAUUAGGUAAAGAUACCCAUAGCGAAAAUAGUCAUAAAUAAAAGUAACAAAAUAUUUGUUACCACACAAAAUAGAUAUAAGAGGUCCACUAUUAUCAGUGUACACAAUUUUUAAAAGGUCAAAAUUGUAAAUUGCCUCAUUUUUCUUAGUCUUAGUUAGUAUAUAUUUUAUACAAUCAACACAAGUGUCUAACUUUUCAAAACCAAGGGAAGGUAAAGUACUAUUUUUUAUCAAUUUUUGCACUUCUUCAUUAGAAAUGUGACCUAACCUUUUACACCACAACAAAAAAGACUUUUCUUUAGUUAAAUAUUUUUAAGACAUUGUUUUUCACAUUAUUGCAACUAUAUUAAUUAUCAUAGGCCAAGCACGGUUUAUAUAAUUUGUCAAUUAGUUUAAAUUCAUCAACAAUGAAUUUUCUUUAGUCAAAGAUUUUUUAGUCACUACCUUUUCAACAUUAUUGCAACUAUGUUAAUAAUUGUAGGCUAAGCACAGUUUAUAUAAAUUGUCAAUUAGUUUAAAUUCACCAACAACAUUUGAAUUUAAAACAAGUCAACUUUUCCUUAUCCAAUGCCAAAAUAAUAACCAUGUUUGUCCAAAAUAAAAACUAAAAUCAAAUUCCUCUUAAAUGAAAGUACAUGAAAAACAUUUUCCAAAAUAAGUUCAAAGCCAGAUUCUAAAUUUAAGCCUAUCAUUCCUACAUAAUUAAUGGCUACUUCAGUAUUGUUUCAAACUCUAUGUGUUGCCCUUUUCUCACUUAGCUUUCAUUUGUUUUUGAAUCCUAACAAAGGUAACAACAAUAUGAAUAGUUACACCACUAUCAACCUACUAGGAAUUUGGUAGGCAACUGACAAAUUAGGAUUUAAAACAAACGAGAGCUAGUGAGUUACCUUCUUGUUUCUUUUUUUUCUUUAACCAAGCUUGAUAUUUAGGAUACUCAUGUUUCAUAUGACAUUCUUUUUACAGGAAAAACACUUGAUAUCUUUCUUAAUGAUAGCUUUAAGCCCUCUUACCUUUUUAGUCUGACCACUACCUUAUCCCUUGUUUUCUUAAACUUUCUUGUGAGCAUUAGGAACAAAUUUCCCAGAUUUCUCAUAAUUUCUUUUGUAAUUAUAUUUGGAGUAUGUAGCAGAAAAAACACUCUCACCUUUUCUUUCUACAGUUUUUCUUCCAUAGAGACAAACUUUUAAAUAAGAUCAUUAACACUUCAAAACCUCAUUCAUAGCAUUAUAGACAGUUUUGAUAUGAGUGAACUGCAAAAGUAAGGCAUUAAGGGCAUGAUGAACAAUGAAUUUAUCAAGAAGGUCAAUUUCAUGAGAAGUCAAUUUGGUUUGAAUGUGGACCAUUCUCAUGAUGAAAUCUCUAGCACUCCCAAUACUGUCAUACCUUAUACUUGUAAGCUCACUCAUAAGGUUCUUAGCUUUACACUUAUUGGAUUUUUGGUAUUUAUUGCCUUCAGCAUGGUAGAGAUCCCUAGCAAUUUUUGUGGUAUCCAACUCACUCAAAAGGUAUUCAAAAAUAGAAAUAUUAAUGACAUAUAGAUGCAUAUGAUUUGUCUUUUCCCAUUUGGGAAAAUAUUCCUUUUGUUUAGCAAUGCUUUCAUUAGUAAAAUUAGCAGGCUUUGAAAAAUGUAAGGCUACGUCUAUCUCAUUUAUAACUAAAGCAAAAUUCAAAUCUUCAUUCCAUUUUUUAUAAUUAGACCCGUGAAGAACUUUAAUAGUGGCUUAUUGUUAUUGAUAAUAAAAGUCAACAUUCAAGAUAAAAAUGCAACAUUAGUAAAUAGGCAAUAUCAUAAAAUAUAUAGCAAUAGUUCAUGAUGUACUAACAAUUAUUGAAAGGUCUUGGUGCAUCACCACAAACUCCUUUUUGGAUAAAGAAUGUAAUAUGUGAGUAGGAACUUUUCGCAUAAAGCUAAUAUGAAAAUGUCCUAGCUUUUCAAAAAACAUAUCCCUUCGGGCAUAUAGAUUUUCUAGAUUGGUACAACUUCAACCAUGAUGAUUUAUAUUCCAAAACAAAUUACCCUAUAUAUUAACCCCUUUUAGGCAGUCAAUUGCAUAAGAUAAUUUAAUAACCAUCCCGUAACCAUAGAAUGAUAAAAUAUUACAUUAAUUUUAAUAAGUGAGCCACUUUGACAACCAAACACUUAUAUCAAUUAAUGAAGAUUUUUUCAAAUCAAAAAAUUUCUUUAAUUGCCCAAAACUCUCAAUUUACAUACUCAACCAUAAUGUAUGCAAUGGACUAUCCCAACUAAGAUACUAAACCUAAAUGUAUCUAAUUAGGUCUUAUAAGCAGUGUACAUUAAAUUUAAACUAAAGUCUUGAAUUUUUUUUAAAAUCAAUUUUUAAUUACUAAGUCAAUUAUGCACUUAAGAUUCAACUUGAGAGUACAUAAAUAUCAAGGCCUAUUUAGGAAGAAUACCUAUUAUCAUUAGACUCCUAACAUACCAAAAUAUUUUAUCACAAAAUAAAAUAAUAAAAUCAUGUGUAUAACAUAUAGUAAUUACUGAGCAAUACAUGAAUGUCAAACAAAUAUUUCAUGUAGUUUAAAAAUUUUCAAAACAAAUAUUAGAAAUAAAAUUCAAAGUAUGCCAAAAGAAACUAGAGGAAAAAUGGAUGCCGAACGAGCCCAUACAUGCCACACGCACCACCCCCUAUGCAUGGAUUUUGUUUAACAUGGGGAAUGGUCUUCUUUAACCUCUAGUUCGGUUGACUCAAUGCAACUGUAAUAGUUUUUUACCUAUUCUAGUUUGUUUUUAUUUUUUCCACCAUUUUUUAUGCAUUUUCUAGGUAUUUUCAUCAAAUUGAAGUGCCCAAAAAUAAAACUAUUUUUCUAUCAAACCCAUUGAAAAAAAAGUAUAAAAAACACAAAAAUAAGAUCAAUUGGUCAAAAUUUUUGAAUUACAUAAACAUAUUAGACCUAUUUUUUGUUUUCUUCGUGUUCGGCCAAUCUAAAACAAUAUUAAAUUAAAUGCUUUGAUUUAACUUUAUAACACAUGAGAAACAUAUUUCAAGAAUCAAUUUCGAAUUAAACAUAAAAUGUUUGAUGUUUUAAUCAAAACAAGAAUUUAGAUUAAACUUAAACCUAAAAAUUUUCAACCUUGAUUUCUCUUCUAGAUAUAAGGAAUUAGAAAAUGAUCUUUAUAUAAUUUUAAUCCUUUUUUAGAGAGGAACUAAAAUCCUAAAUCAAUUUCGAAAAAUAAAGAUCAAAAUUUAAAAUUUUGACAACAACAUAAUUUCACACUAAAUAUGUUGUUUGUUCAAAAAUCAAUUACAAAUCAUGAUUUUAGGGGCCUAAUAUCACAUAAUGAUAGCUCUGAUAGCACACGUAAACAUUAACCCAAGUUCAUUGUUUGAUAAUUAGAACAUCGUAAACAAAUAAAGAGAUUUGUCAUACUUAUUUGGGUGGUCAUGACGAAUAUAUCGAAGUGAAACAAUACUUAAAGUGCCUAGGUCUUCCUCUUCACUCUUCUCUUAUUGGCGACACUCAAUGAGCAGUAACCGUAACUCGUAUAAAAGUAAAAAAAAAAAGGUUAUCUGAACCUAUUUUAAUUGAAACCCUUGAAGCCUCCUCAUCAAACACUUACUAGACUAAAGGUCUACAAAACCUCCAAACCAGAUUAAUCUAGUAAGAUGUGUAAGUCUUACAUUUAAGUGAUCACAUUAAAUUAUUUAAACUCUCAUGCUUAUCUUGUAUUAAGAGUAAACACAUCAACCAAUUUUAUUAAAUUAUUAAAACCAACUAUUAAUGGUAGCCCAUUUAUAAACAAUUCUCACUCUAUAUCCUAAUAAGACAUCAACGGGAGUGUAUAAAGCAAAGAUGAAGACUAUAUAAAGAGGAAUGGUGGUGGAAAGAUUAUUUUCUAAACAAAAAUUUGGAUGUUGAAGCGAUCUUCAUAAGAGACGACUCUCUGUGUUAGAGUGGUUCCACUAAAAUAGUAUACUAAGGUCAUAUUUUAUACAUAUGAUUAUUAAUAGAAUAUGAAGAAUAUUCGUAAGGUUUGCAAUAAGGAUUAAUAUCCUCUUGGUAUAGGAUUAUUCAAUCAUCUCAAAGUAGAGAGGAUAAUUUUUAAAUUUAUAGAUUAAACUUACAAGUUCAAUUAUACCCUUAAAAAUUACUUUAAUAAUUUAAAUUGUAUAAACUUUGAAUAAGGAUAAUUUUGACAAAUAAAUAAAUUAUCCUAUCCUAAUCUUUACAUAUAGCAAACACAAAACAAGAUGACAUUAUUUAAUCUAAUUUUAUUUAUAAUAUCAUUGUACCCUAUCAAGUUAUAAUCUUAUGUACCAAACAUGCAUAAGAUAUUAUUAUAUCUAUGUAUAUUGAUAUUAUUUGUUAUUUUAUAACUAAGCUUUUGCGAUUCACAUAUUGUGAGGGGUUUCUGUGAUAACUUUUUAAAAGGCUAUUUGGUGAUUGCAUAUACAUGACAUCAUACAUGCUAAUAAAGGUUAGGAUAGAGCGGUACAUUCGAAUUCACCCAUAAGGUACUGUGAAUUGAAUUCCUCAAUUCUUUUUAUUCCUAGAUUGGUGGAUUAUAUUACAGAAUGGUGGUGUAGCACAAUGAUUUUAUGUUGUUUUACAAAGCUGGUGUAGCACAAUGAUUUUAUGUUGUUUUACAACAAUUAUUGUUCAUUUCUUCAAACAUCAGUAAAUAAGAUUGAAGAACAAGUGCAUUGUCCUAAAACCAAAUGAACUUGAGUAAAACCCAUCAGCUCUAGGGAUUUUCAAAGAACUUGGAUAUCAUUUUGUUUAUUGAGAACCAAAUGAUCGAAAGAAAUAGGAAAGUAGUAUCGAAAUUAGGAAUAACUUUUAGUUUACAAGAGAUAAGUUGGUUAAUUUUGUCUGUGUACACUCAGGUAUACUAUUUUUUAUUUAUGUUAAUGAGCCUCACACAAAUUUUCAAUUUGGCUGACUUUAGGACUGAUAUUAGGUUCUGGAAGUCUAGAAUGCCUAUUGAAUAUAUAAGGUGAAGAAAUCUAAAUAUUCAAUACUGAAAUUAUUUUAUACCUUGAUCUUAGCAUAUGAUAUUGGAAGUAGUUUACUAAAAUUGGGUAAGUUAUAUUGAGACAUUGAUCUUUCAAUUGGCUAUAUGUUAUGCCUUUUUCAUAUUUUUUUAUCCUAAUGAUUGAAGGAGAAAUUCUAUUUUUGGAUGAGAUGCUAUGAUUUGCAAGAGUGAAUUAAAUGGAAUUUGUAUUAAUGGAUAAAUUAUUACUUUAAGUAUUAUAUAUUGUGGGAAAGCUUGCUGAAUCUACUUUCCAAUGAAACAAACAUAAGUCGAAUAAGAGUUUUCUAUUAAGAGUUGUCUAAUUUUUACUUAAUGAUAUGUAGACUGCCUUGACACAGUAGAAAUGAGGAAUUACAAAAUUUCUCUUAAUUUUUAUACAAUCAAUUACGAAUUGAGCCAUACAUGUUUAAAAAGGUUAUUGAGUUUAUAAUCCAAUGAAACAAGCAGAAUUGAAUUUGGAGUCUGUUAUGAAUAAAUAUGUCAUUUUGAUUACAAUAUAUACAUGCUAUCUGGUAGUAGCAUAUGACAUGGAUUGCAAAAAUUAUUACAAUUAAUCUACAAUAAAUUACGAGGUGGGCCAUAUAUGUUGUCAUAACAUCUUGAUCCGGGGAUCCAUUGCUAGAUAUUAUUUUUAGGAGUCGUUACUAAUCUUUUUUAUUUAGGUGCGAUUAGCCAUAUAGAAAAUUUAUCAUUUUAAGGAACACCUAAGCCUAAGGUUCCCUAAAAGAAUAGUUUCAAGUCUACUAAUCAAAACAGGGUUCAGGAGUACGGUUAUGUGUGAGAAAGGUUAUAGCACCCUCACAACACCCAUCGAAAGAUGGUACUAGCUUAAUUUUAUGUUAUCCAAUAAGCUUUAAAAUUUUAUCAAGUAAUUAAUUAUUAGAAAUUAUUCUCAAUUGACUCUAAUACUUCUAGCAGAAAAUUGAAAAAACUCCAUCACCUUAAAAGCAUGCAAGGAAACUACUAUUUCACUUGCAGAUGCUUUAUCGUUGGAUUAUUUAACAUUAAAGAAAAUUCAAAAAGGAAAAGAAAUAAAAUGGGAAAAAAAGAAUAAUAAUUCAGCCUUAGAUAUAAAUCCUUAUCUCUUCAAAACUCAUUGCUUUUGUACAAGAAAAAUUGAUACUUUUAACUUUUCCUCAAAAGCAUUUGAGAGUUUCUAUUUUAAGAAAAAUUGAUACUUUAACUUUUCCUAAAAAUAUUUUUUUAAGGAAAAAUUAAUACUUCCAGCUUUUCCACAAAAUGUUUUUUCUGAAACUUUAAUUCGAAAAAAAUUGAUACUUUCAAACUUUUCCCAAAAACAUUCUUUUUUAAAUUCUAAUUCUAAGAAAAUUGAUUACUUUUACCUUUUCUUCAAAAAUAUUUUUUAAGAAAAUUAAUUUUUCAAAGGAAAAUUCGAUACUUUCAACUUUUUCGCGAAAAAUAUUUUUUAGAAAACUUAUUUUUCAAGAAAAAUUGAUACUUUCAACCUUUUCCAUCAAAAUAUUUUUUAGAAUUUUAUUUUAAGAAAAUCAUUAAAUAAAAUAAAAUAAAAAAUAAAAAAAAUUAAAAGGAAUACAAUUAUUCUAAUCUAAUCAUAAAAAUAAUAAUAAUAACAAUAAUAAAUAAAUAAAUAAAAAAAAACUUUUGGAUGGCUUGGCUCGGCUUGGCCGGCUUGAGAUAGAAGUGGUUUAAACGUGAGGCUCAGCUAGAAAUGGCUCGGCUCGGCUCGUUUGGGGUCCAAGUAGAGACGCGGGGUCGCUAAUCGAGUUGGUGCUCAGGUUGAGCCGCCCGAUUUCAAAACACGUUGAUCCUUUGGGAAUAGUAAGGCUAAAACGACAUCAUUUUCAGUCAGUAUAAAAGGCUUCAACCUCUAUUUUUUUGUAGAUUGCUUCCUUCCUCCUUUCUCUUUUCUUCUUUUUUCUCUUCUUUCCCUUAAAUAGAAUCUAGAUUUCAAUUGAUUCUGCCAAAAUNNNNNNNNNNNNNNNNNNNNNNNNNNNNNNNNNNNNNNNNNNNNNNNNNNNNNNNNNNNNNNNNNNNNNNNNNNNNNNNNNNNNNNNNNNNNNNNNNNNNNNNNNNNNNNNNNNNNNNNNNNNNNNNNNNNNNNNNNNNNNNNNNNNNNNNNNNNNNNNNNNNNNNNNNNNNNNNNNNNNNNNNNNNNNNNNNNNNNNNNNNNNNNNNNNNNNNNNNNNNNNNNNNNNNNNNNNNNNNNNNNNNNNNNNNNNNNNNNNNNNNNNNNNNNNNNNNNNNNNNNNNNNNNNNNNNNNNNNNNNNNNNNNNNNNNNNNNNNNNNNNNNNNNNNNNNNNNNNNNNNNNNNNNNNNNNNNNNNNNNNNNNNNNNNNNNNNNNNNNNNNNNNNNNNNNNNNNNNNNNNNNNNNNNNNNNNNNNNNNNNNNNNNNNNNNNNNNNNNNNNNNNNNNNNNNNNNNNNNNNNNNNNNNNNNNNNNNNNNNNNNNNNNNNNNNNNNNNNNNNNNNNNNNNNNNNNNNNNNNNNNNNNNNNNNNNNNNNNNNNNNNNNNNNNNNNNNNNNNNNNNNNNNNNNNNNNNNNNNNNNNNNNNNNNNNNNNNNNNNNNNNNNNNNNNNNNNNNNNNNNNNNNNNNNNNNNNNNNNNNNNNNNNNNNNNNNNNNNNNNNNNNNNNNNNNNNNNNNNNNNNNNNNNNNNNNNNNNNNNNNNNNNNNNNNNNNNNNNNNNNNNNNNNNNNNNNNNNNNNNNNNNNNNNNNNNNNNNNNNNNNNNNNNNNNNNNNNNNNNNNNNNNNNNNNNNNNNNNNNNNNNNNNNNNNNNNNNNNNNNNNNNNNNNNNNNNNNNNNNNNNNNNNNNNNNNNNNNNNNNNNNNNNNNNNNNNNNNNNNNNNNNNNNNNNNNNNNNNNNNNNNNNNNNNNNNNNNNNNNNNNNNNNNNNNNNNNNNNNNNNNNNNNNNNNNNNNNNNNNNNNNNNNNNNNNNNNNNNNNNNNNNNNNNNNNNNNNNNNNNAAUACAUUCUUGCGGCGUUGGAGUUCGUAGCCAUCUAUGGCCAACGAUUUCUUCCUCUAUACCAUUUCAACCUGAGAACUGGCAGCUGGACUUUCAAGAAGAAGGCGCUUAAGGACCUGGUAGGAAAGGAGAAUAGUCACGGCAUCCAUGUCUUGCCUUUGGCUAGUGCUUUUCAGACAAUAAGCUUGGACCGUGACAAAAUUGAUGCAGGAAAGAAUGAUACUCCUGUCAUCCUUCAGUAUGCAUCAUAUUUGAAAAGUGCCAAACGAGUCGCUGCUCUCCUUCCCAAGUUUCCAUCUCGAAGGAGGUUUCACGAAGAUUUAAAUCUUAACCUCCUCCCUUUCAGAGUCUAACUAUACUAUCAAAAAUGGAUUCGAGUUCAUAAUCAAAUUUAUCUAUCUUUCCUCACUUCAUUGGAAUAUUCUCACAAAGCAAAAGCAGAAAUUAAACUAGCUCAAGCCUGUCAUGUUAGCAGACUCUCCAAUUACCUGAAAUCUGUUGCAAUGCCUGACAAAUUGGCUGAUACGUAAUCCAAUCUGGUCAAGACUUGUCUAAUAAUGGUGUCAUGCCCCAAAACUAAGAUGUAACACCGUUAUAUUAUCUUCAAAUAAAACUUUAAAGUAAUACGAAAUUUUUCUCUUAAUCAUUUUAAAAUUCUUUAAUAAAAAUAAUUUGCCAAGUAAAAUUCAUAAAUUUAAUCUAACUAAUGAUACAUCUCUAUAUAUCCAAAGGUUAAUUAAUAAAAAACAUAUAAAAUAAUUUCAUAAGAUCUCACUAACUAACUAUAUUUCUAAUGUCCAAGAAAUAUUUCCAAUUUGAUCUUCUAGCUUUUAAUAAGACUAAAUAUACUUAUCAGUUACUCAUGUGUAAAGAAAAGGUAAAAAGAGAAUGAACAAAUUACAGCUAAGCUAGUAUAGGAUCAUACACUUUAUCGGAUCAAACAUCGGUUUCAUACAUAUCAUAUAGAUAAUUCAAAACAUUUGUCAAAUAAUACAUCAAAAUAUUUCAAAAAUCAACAUUAUGUCAAAUAUUUUGUAGAUCAUAAAUCAAAAUCAAAACAGAUCAAUUCAUAAAUCAUUGCAAAAUAUGUUACCAUUCAAAUAUCGUAAUCAAAUCAAAUCAUGAAUCAAUCUUUAAAAUCAUCAUCAUCAUAAAUCAUCAUUAUCAUUAGUUUAUCAUUAACUAUGAUCACUACUAUAAUCCGUAACAUUGGCAAUAUCGAUAAUUUUAUCCUUAUGAUCUUUACUAACUAUUAUAACCUGCUGGCCAAACCUUUACACUAACUACUAUGACCCACUAGUAGUACCAUUUGAUCAUGACUAUAUUAACUACUAUAAUCCGUUAGCUAGGGUCGUAUAACUAGUUCUGGUAUCGAUAAUCACACUUCUCAAGAUGUAAAAUAUGUAGCUAUUAUAAAAUCAUUCAUUAAACAUAAAUCAAUUUCUCAUUUCAUUUAUAAACAUGAUCCAUCAUUUAUAUAGCAAAACGUAAAAUAAUCAUAUGCUCAGC
rnacentral:lncRNA from 1 species